AACGCGAAGAACCUUACCUGGGCUUGACAUGCUGGUGAAAGCUGGUGGAAACACCGGCCCCUCUUCGGAGCGCCAGCACAGGUGCUGCAUGGCUGUCGUCAGCUCGUGUCGUGAGAUGUUGGGUUAAGUCCCGCAACGAGCGCAACCCUCGCUCCCAGUUGCCAGCGGUUCGGCCGGGGACUCUGGGGGGACUGCCGGCGUUAAGCCGGAGGAAGGUGGGGACGACGUCAAGUCAUCACGGCCCUUACGUCCAGGGCGACACACGUGCUACAAUGCCCGGUACAGCGCGUCGCGAACUCGCGAGAGGGAGCCAAUCGCUAAAAGCCGGGCUAAGUUCGGAUUGCAGUCUGCAACUCGACUGCAUGAAGCCGGAAUCGCUAGUAAUCGCGGAUCAGCCACGCCGCGGUGAAUACGUUCCCGGGCCUUGUA
rnacentral:rRNA from 2 species